CCUCGCCCUUCCUCUCCCUCCAGGUUUAAUUAUCUGAAGAGUCUUGGACUUUCAUUUCUUGUUUUUUGCUUGUUUGCUUGUUUGUUUGCACCUGGUUGAUGUAUAAGUCUUGGACUUUGGGAGACCCAAAAGAGAAGGAAGGUCUGCAAAUAAUUAAGCCAGGGGAUGGCCUUCAGGACAGGAUUGUCUGUGGGCAUGGGGUGGGGGUAGAGGAUAUGGCAGGUUCCCCCUUGGUACAUCUGUGUGGGUUGGGUAUGGGGUGAGGGCAGAGAACCAGAGCAGGGGAGAGAAGGCAGCUGAAACAGACAAGUGCUUCAGGCACAGGAAGAAAAUGGAGUGAGACCCGAGAGGCCUAAUUCACUGACCAGUAAGGCAAGGAACAUGGGAAUCCCUUGUACCCAGAGUUCUCCACAGUGCUCAUGGUGUUGGCAAUAUCCUUGAAGAGACUAAAAGAACUCAGAACAACACUGAACAAGCCAGCAGAGCCAUCAACUCACCCCUACAGUCUCCAUACACAGACUCCAUGAAAGCAUUGGCCAUCAGCUCUCACUGGUGUGGAUAUGUCACCAGUGGGGUAGAGUUGUUCCUCUCUCUGACACUGUAUUAGUCCAUUCUCACACUGCUAUUAAAAAACAAACAAACAAACUUGAGAUUGGGGUAAUUUAUGAAGAAGAGAGGUUUAUUUAUUUAUUUAUUUAUUUUGAGACAGAGUCUCACUUUGUCGCCAGGCUAGAGUGCUGUGGCGCGAUCUCAGCUCACUGCAACCUCCAACUCCCUGGUUCAAGGGAUUCUCCUGCCUCCGCCUCCCAGGUAGCUGGGAUUACAGGCGCGUGCCACCACGCCCAGCUAAUUUUUGUAUUUUUAGUAGAGAUGGGGUUUCACUAUGUUGGCCAGGAUGGUCUCG
rnacentral:lncRNA from 1 species